rnacentral:rRNA from 1 species
GAUGAACGCUGGCGGCGUGCCUAAUACAUGCAAGUCGAGCGAACAGAUAAGGAGCUUGCUCCUUUGACGUUAGCGGCGGACGGGUGAGUAACACGUGGGUAACCUACCUAUAAGACUGGGAUAACUUCGGGAAACCGGAGCUAAUACCGGAUAAUAUUUCGAACCGCAUGGUUCGAUAGUGAAAGAUGGUUUUGCUAUCACUUAUAGAUGGACCCGCGCCGUAUUAGCUAGUUGGUAAGGUAACGGCUUUCCAAGGCGACGAUACGUAGCCGACCUGAGAGGGUGAUCGGCCACACUGGAACUGAGACACGGUCCAGACUCCUACGGGAGGCAGCAGUAGGGAAUCUUCCGCAAUGGGCGAAAGCCUGACGGAGCAACGCCGCGUGAGUGAUGAAGGUCUUCGGAUCGUAAAACUCUGUUAUUAGGGAAGAACAUACGUGUAAGUAACUGUGCACGUCUUGACGGUACCUAAUCAGAAAGCCACGGCUAACUACGUG